GGCGUGGUAGGUCAGCCUCUUAACGGAUUGAGGUGCCAAACGCGUAGGACGUUGAAGGGUGUAGGUAAGUCCGCACCCCGAGUCCGAAACGUGAUGGCGGUGCCUUAGAGCCACAAGUGAUUGAGCCAUGCCGCCUAGAAAAGCUUCUAAGCGUUGAUAUUUGAGUGACCGUACCGCAAACCGACACUGGUAGGUGGGUAGAAUAUACCAAGGGGAGCGAGAGAACCCUCGUUAAGGAAUUAGGCAAAUUUCCCCCGUACGUUCGCAAUAAGGGGGGCCUCUGGUGGUGAGCUUAAUCGCAAAGCUGCUGGAGGCCGCAGAGAAAUGGCUCUUCCAACUGUUUAACAAAAACACAGGUCUCUGCUAAGUCGAAAGACGAAGUAUAGGGGCUGACGCCUGCCCAGUGCUGGAAGGUUAAGGGGAGAGGUUAGGCGCAAGCCGAAGCUUUGAGCCGAAGCCCCAGUGAACGGCGGCCGUAACAAUAACGGUCCUAAGGUAGCGAAAUUCCUUGUCGGGUAAGUUCCGACCCGCACGAAUGGCGUAAUGAGAGGAGCACUGUCUCAACGAGGGACUCGGCGAACAUUGAAGGACGUGUGAAGAUACACGUGACCCGCAGCGGGACAAAAAGACCCCGUGAAGCUUUACUACAACUUGCCAUUGAGUUAGGGCUAAACCUGUGUAGUAUAGGUGGGAGGCUUUGAAGCUGGGACGCCAGUCUCGGUGGAGCCACCGUUGAAAUACCACCCUGGUUUAUUCUUGGCUCUAACCUGUCGCCGUUAUCCGGCAUGGGAACAGUGGCUGGUGGGUAGUUUGACUGGGGCGGUCGCCUCCGAAAGCGUAACAGAGGCGCCCAAAGGUUCCCUCAGGCUGAAUGGAAACCAGCCGUUGAGUGUAAAGGCACAAGGGAGCUUGACUGCAAGACCAACAAGUCGCGCAGGGACGAAAGUCGGGCUUAGUGAUCCCACGGUUCAGAGUGGAAUGGCCGUGGCUUACCGGAUAAAAGCUACUCCGGGGAUAACAGGGUAGUCUGGUCCAAGAGUUCAUAUCGACGACCAGGUUCGCCACCUCGAUGUCGGCUCAUCACAUCCUGGGGCUGGAUAAGGUCCCAAGGGUUGGGCUGUUCGCCCAUUAAAGUGGUACGUGAGCUGGGUUCAGACCGUCGUGAGACAGGUCGGUCUCUAUCCGCUGUGGGCGUAAGGGAUUUGAGAGAAGCUGCCCCUAGUACAAGAGGACCGGGGUGGACGGACCUCUAGUGUGCCAGUUGUUCUGCCAAGAGCAUUGCUGGGUAGCUACGUCCGGCAGAGAUAACCGCUGAAAGCAUCUAAGUGGGAAACUCGUCUCAAGAUUAGAUCCCUCAUCCGUGUGGAGUAAGACCGCUAGAAGACUACUAGUUUGAUAGGCGGCAGGUGUAAGCGCAGUAAUGUGUUCAGCUUAGCCGUACUAAUGGUCGAGGGCUUACGUUU
rnacentral:rRNA from 1 species